GAUGAAGAACGCAGCGAAACGCGAUAUUUCUUGUGAAUUGCAGAAGUGAAUCAUCAGUUUUUGAACGCACAUUGCACUUUGGGGUAUCCCCCAAAGUAUACUUGUUUGAGCGUUGUUUCUCUCUUGGAAUUGCUUUGCUCUUCUAAAAUUUCGAAUCAAAUUCGUUUGAAAAACAACACUAUUCAACCUCAGAUCAAGUAGGAUUACCCGCUGAACUUAAGCAUAUAAUAAGCGGAGGA
rnacentral:misc_RNA from 1 species